UUUUUUUUUUUUACACGAAUUUGAGGAAAACCAAAUGAAUUUGAUAGCCAAAUUGAGACAAUUUCAGCAAAUCUGUAAGCAGUUUGUAUGUUUAGUUGGGGUAAUGAAGUAUUUCAGUUUUGUGAAUAGAUGACCUGUUUUUACUUCCUCACCCUGAAUUCGUUUUGUAAAUGUAGAGUUUGGAUGUGUAACUGAGGCGGGGGGGAGUUUUCAGUAUUUUUUUUUGUGGGGGUGGGGGCAAAAUAUGUUUUCAGUUCUUUUUCCCUUAGGUCUGUCUAGAAUCCUAAAGGCAAAUGACUCAAGGUGUAACAGAAAACAAGAAAAUCCAAUAUCAGGAUAAUCAGACCACCACAGGUUUACAGUUUAUAGAAACUAGAGCAGUUCUCACGUUGAGGUCUGUGGAAGAGAUGUCCAUUGGAGAAAUGGCUGGUAGUUACUCUUUUUUCCCCCCACCCCCUUAAUCAGACUUUAAAAGUGCUUAACCCCUUAAACUUGUUAUUUUUUACUUGAAGCAUUUUGGGAUGGUCUUAACAGGGAAGAGAGAGGGUGGGGGAGAAAAUGUUUUUUUCUAAGAUUUUCCACAGAUGCUAUAGUACUAUUGACAAACUGGGUUAGAGAAGGAGUGUACCGCUGUGCUGUUGGCACGAACACCUUCAGGGACUGGAGCUGCUUUUAUCCUUGGAAGAGUAUUCCCAGUUGAAGCUGAAAAGUACAGCACAGUGCAGCUUUGGUUCAUAUUCAGUCAUCUCAGGAGAACUUCAGAAGAGCUUGAGUAGGCCAAAUGUUGAAGUUAAGUUUUCCAAUAAUGUGACUUCUUAAAAGUUUUAUUAAAGGGGAGGGGCAAAUAUUGGCAAUUAGUUGGCAGUGGCCUGUUACGGUUGGGAUUGGUGGGGUGGGUUUAGGUAAUUGUUUAGUUUAUGAUUGCAGAUAAACUCAUGCCAGAGAACUUAAAGUCUUAGAAUGGAAAAAGUAAAGAAAUAUCAACUUCCAAGUUGGCAAGUAACUCCCAAUGAUUUAGUUUUUUUCCCCCCAGUUUGAAUUGGGAAGCUGGGGGAAGUUAAAUAUGAGCCACUGGGUGUACCAGUGCAUUAAUUUGGGCAAGGAAAGUGUCAUAAUUUGAUACUGUAUCUGUUUUCCUUCAAAGUAUAGAGCUUUUGGGGAAGGAAAGUAUUGAACUGGGGGUUGGUCUGGCCUACUGGGCUGACAUUAACUACAAUUAUGGGAAAUGCAAAAGUUGUUUGGAUAUGGUAGUGUGUGGUUCUCUUUUGGAAUUUUUUUCAGGUGAUUUAAUAAUAAUUUAAAACUACUAUAGAAACUGCAGAGCAAAGGAAGUGGCUUAAUGAUCCUGAAGGGAUUUCUUCUGAUGGUAGCUUUUGUAUUAUCAAACUUUUUUCAGAUAACAUCUUCUGAGUCAUAACCAGCCUGGCAGUAUGAUGGCCUAGAUGCAGAGAAAACAGCUCCUUGGUAUCUCUUCGUUAUCAGAAGAGUUGCUUCAUUUCAUCUGGGAGCAGAAAACAGCAGGCAGCUGUUAACAGAUAAGUUUAACUUGCAUCUGCAGUAUUGCAUGUUAGGGAUAAGUGCUUAUUUUUAAGAGCUGUGGAGUUCUUAAAUAUCAACCAUGGCACUUUCUCCUGACCCCUUCCCUAGGGGAUUUCAGGAUUGAGAAAUUUUUCCAUCGAGCCUUUUUAAAAUUGUAGGACUUGUUCCUGUGGGCUUCAGUGAUGGGAUAGUACACUUCACUCAGAGGCAUUUGCAUCUUUAAAUAAUUUCUUAAAAGCCUCUAAAGUGAUCAGUGCCUUGAUGCCAACUAAGGAAAUUUGUUUAGCAUUGAAUCUCUGAAGGCUCUAUGAAAGGAAUAGCAUGAUGUGCUGUUAGAAUCAGAUGUUACUGCUAAAAUUUACAUGUUGUGAUGUAAAUUGUGUAGAAAACCAUUAAAUCAUUCAAAAUAAUAAACUAUUUUUAUUAGAGAAUGUAUACUUUUAGAAAGCUGUCUCCUUAUUUAAAUAAAAUAGUGUUUGUCUGUAGUUCAGUGUUGGGGCAAUCUUGGGGGGGAUUCUUCUCUAAUCUUUCAGAAACUUUGUCUGCGAACACUCUUUAAUGGACCAGAUCAGGAUUUGAGCGGAAGAACGAAUGUAACUUUAAGGCAGGAAAGACAAAUUUUAUUCUUCAUAAAGUGAUGAGCAUAUAAUAAUUCCAGGCACAUGGCAAUAGAGGCCCUCUAAAUAAGGAAUAAAUAACCUCUUAGACAGGUGGGAGAUUAUGAUCAGAGUAAAAGGUAAUUACACAUUUUAUUUCCAGAAAGUCAGGGGUCUAUAAAUUGACAGUGAUUAGAGUAAUACUUUUUCACAUUUCCAAAGUUUGCAUGUUAACUUUAAAUGCUUACAAUCUUAGAGUGGUAGGCAAUGUUUUACACUAUUGACCUUAUAUAGGGAAGGGAGGGGGUGCCUGUGGGGUUUUAAAGAAUUUUCCUUUGCAGAGGCAUUUCAUCCUUCAUGAAGCCAUUCAGGAUUUUGAAUUGCAUAUGAGUGCUUGGCUCUUCCUUCUGUUCUAACUUCACAGAGAAUGCAGUUGUCUUGACUUCAGGUCUGUCUGUUCUGUUGGCAAGUAAAUGCAGUACUGUUCUGAUCCCGCUGCUAUUAGAAUGCAUUGUGAAACGACUGGAGUAUGAUUAAAAGUUGUGUUCCCCAAUGCUUGGAGUAGUGAUUGUUGAAGGAAAAAAUCCAGCUGAGUGAUAAAGGCUGAGUGUUGAGGAAAUUUCUGCAGUUUUAAGCAGUCGUAUUUGUGAUUGAAGCUGAGUACAUUUUGCUGGUGUAUUUUUAGGUAAAAUGCUUUUUGUUCAUUUCUGGUGGUGGGAGGGGACUGAAGCCUUUAGUCUUUUCCAGAUGCAACCUUAAAAUCAGUGACAAGAAACAUUCCAAACAAGCAACAGUCUUCAAGAAAUUAAACUGGCAAGUGGAAAUGUUUAAACAGUUCAGUGAUCUUUAGUGCAUUGUUUAUGUGUGGGUUUCUCUCUCCCCUCCCUUGGUCUUAAUUCUUACAUGCAGGAACACUCAGCAGACACACGUAUGCGAAGGGCCAGAGAAGCCAGACCCAGUAAGAAAAAA
rnacentral:lncRNA from 1 species